rnacentral:pre_miRNA from 1 species
GGGGGUAGUGCAGGAUCGGGGCUAUGUCCCCUGGUGCCCUGGGCUCCAGGGCCUGUGCCGCUGGAAUCGGGUUCCUGGGGCCGUGCAGCCCCCU